rnacentral:rRNA from 1 species
AGAGUUUGAUCCUGGCUCAGAGCGAACGUUGGCGGCGCGCUUAACACAUGCAAGUCGAGCGAGAACGGAUCCUUCGGGAUCUCAGUAAAGCGGUGCACGGGUGAGUAACACGUGGGUAAUCUACCUUUCGGUUAGGGACAACCUCGGGAAACUGGGGCUAAUACCAAAUACGUCCUUCUGGCCUCCGGGCUAGAAAGGGAAAGAAGGCCUCUCCAUGGAAGCUUUUGCCGAAGGAUGAGCCCGCGGCCCAUCAGCUAGAUGGCGGAGUAAUAGUCCAUUAUGGCUACGACGGGUAGCUGGUCUGAGAGGAUGAUCAGCCACACUGGAAUUGAGAUAUGGUCCAGACUCCUACGGGAAGCAGCAGUGGGGAAUAUUGCGCAAUGGGCGAAAGCCUGACGCAGCGACGCCGCGUGGGUGAUGAAGGCCUUCGGGUCGUAAAGCCCUGUCGGAGAGGGACGAAAUAUGGUGGGAAUAAUAUCCCAUCGGUCUGAUGGUACUUCUCCAGAAAGCACCGGCUAACUCCGUGCCAGUAGUUGUGGUAAGACGGAGGGUGCAAACGUUGCUCGGAAUCACUGGGCGUAAAGCGCGUGUAGGCGGACGGGCAAGCGAGAUGUGAAAGCCCUCGGCUUAACUGAGGAAGAGCAUUUCGAACUGCUCGUCUUGAGUGCGGGAGAGGGAGGUAGAAUUCCCGGUGUAGAGGUGAAAUUUGUAGAUAUCGGGAGGAAUAUUGGUGGUGAAGGUGGCCUCCUGGACCGACACUGACGCUGAGACGCGAAAGCGUGGGGAGCAAACAGGAUUAGAUAUCCUGGUAGUCCACGCCGUAAACGAUGGGUACUAGGUGUCGCGGGUAUUAACCCCUGCGGUGCCGAAGCUAACGCGUUAAGUACCCCGCCUGGGGAGUACGGCCGCAAGGCUAAAACUCAAAGGAAUUGACGGGGGCCCGCACAAGCGGUGGAGCAUGUGGUUUAAUUUGAUGCAAUGUGCAGAACCUUACCUGGGCUUGAAAACUGCCGAAUCCGAUUGAAAAAUUGGAGUGUUUUUUUAAGGAACGGUAGCACAGGUGCUGUAUGGCUGUCGUCAGCUCGUGUUGUGAGAUGUUGGGUUAAGUUCCGCAACGAGCGCAACCCCUGCCUUCAGUUGCCAGUAUAUUAGAUGGGAACUCUAAAGGGACUGCCGGUGUUAAACCGGAGGAAGGUGGGGAUGACGUCAAGUCCUCAUGGCCCCUACGUCCAGGGCUACACACGUGCUACAAUGGCUACUAUAAAGGGCAGUGAACCCGUGAGGGGAAGCCAAUCUUAAAAAAGUAGUCACAGUACGGAUAGGAGUCUGUAACUUGACUCCUUGAAGGCGGAAUCGCUAGUAAUUGCUGAUUAGUAGGCAGCGGUGAAUACGUUCCCGGGCCUUGUACACACCGCCCGUCACGCCAUGGGAGUCGGUUGCUCCAGAAGUCGUUGAGCUAACCCGUUAGGGAGGCAGACGCCCAAGGAGUGGCUGAUGACUGGGGUGAAGUCGAAAUAAGGUA